rnacentral:rRNA from 1 species
CAUACGGGAGGCUGCAGUGGGGAAUAUUGGACAAUGGGGGGAACCCUGAUCCAGCCAUGCCGCGUGUGUGAAGAAGGCCCUCGGGUUGUAAAGCACUUUCAGUGAGGAAGAACGCCUGGUGGUUAAUACCCAUCAGGAAAGACAUCACUCACAGAAGAAGCACCGGCUAACUCCGUGCCAGCAGCCGCGGUAAUACGGAGGGUGCGAGCGUUAAUCGGAAUUACUGGGCGUAAAGCGCGCGUAGGUGGCUUGAUAAGCCGGUUGUGAAAGCCCCGGGCUCAACCUGGGAACGGCAUCCGGAACUGUCAAGCUAGAGUGCAGGAGAGGAAGGUAGAAUUCACGGUGUAGCGGUGAAAUGCGUAGAGAUCGGGAGGAAUACCAGUGGCGAAGGCGGCCUUCUGGACUGACACUGACACUGAGGUGCGAAAGCGUGGGUAGCAAACAGGAUUAGAUACCCCGGUAGUC